rnacentral:rRNA from 1 species
AGUGAAGCGGCAAGAGCUCACAUUUGGAAUCGUGUUUCGGCACGAGUUGUAAAUUGCAGGUUGGAGUCUUUGUGGAAGCGUGUGUCCAAGUCCCUUGGAACAGGGCGCCAUUGAGGGUGAGAGCCCCGUGGGAUGCGCGCGGAAGCAACAAGGCCCUUCUGACGAGUCGAGUUGUUUGGGAAUGCAGCUCUAAGCGGGUGGUAAAUUCCAUCUAAGGCUAAAUACUGGCGAGAGACCGAUAGCGAACAAGUACUGUGAAGGAAAGAUGAAAAGCACUUUGAAAAGAGAGUGAAACAGCACGUGAAAUUGUUGAAAGGGAAGGGUAUUGGGCCCGACAUGGGGAUUGCGCAUCUCUGCUCCUUGUGGGCGGGGCGCUGUGCUUUUCCUGGGCCAGCAUCGGUUUUUGCCGCAGGAGAAGGGGUACUGGAAUGUGGCUCCUCGGAGUGUUAUAGCCAGUGCCAGAUGCUGCGUGCGGGGACCGAGGGCUGCGACAUCUGUCUCGGAUGCUGGCACAACGGCGCAAUACCGCCCGUCUUGAACCACGGACCACGCAGAAACAAGA